GACGAACGCUGGCGGCGUGCCUAAUACAUGCAAGUAGGACGCAGUUGCGAACGGGUGAGUAACGCGUAGGUAACUACCUAUUAGAGGGGGAUAACUAUUGGAAACGAUAGCUAAUACCGCAUACUAGUAGAUGGACCUGCGUUGUAUUAGCUAGUAGGUAGGGUAAUGGCCUACCUAGGCAACGAUACAUACCCGACCUGAGAGGGUGAUCGGCCACACGGGGACUGAGGCACGGGCCAGAAUGCUACGGGGAGCAGCAGGAAGGAAACUUCGGGAAAUGGGGGAAACCUGACCGGGCAAAGCCGCGUGAGGGAAGAAGGUUUUCGGAUCGUUAAGCUCUGUUGUUAAGGAAGCGGUACUUAACCAGAAAGGGACGGCUAACUACGUGCCAGCAGCCGCGGUAAUAC
rnacentral:rRNA from 1 species